CCCCUAGACGUUCUGGGCUGCACGCGCGCUACAAUAAUACGCACAGCGAGUAUCACCGAGCUCGAAAGGGCAAGGUAAACAAUAGAAAAGGUACUGUAAUGGUUAUAGAUCCUUGUAAUUAUUGAUCUACAACGAGGAAUUCCUAGUAAGUAUGUGUCAUCAUCACGCACUGAUUACGUCCCUGCCCUUUGUACACACCGCCCGUCGCUCCUACCGAUUGGGUGAGCCGAUGAAACUCUCGGAUGUAGGCUAUUCAUAGCCCGCAGAAGAGAUUUGAAUCGUAGCGCUUAGAGGAAGGAGAAGUCGUAACA
rnacentral:rRNA from 1 species